rnacentral:rRNA from 1 species
CACCGGCGCCACAAGUGGUCAUCACGAUUAUUGGGCCUAAAGCGUCCGUAGCUGGUGCGGUGCAUCCCUUGUGAAAUUGUUCGGCUUAACCGAACAGCGUGCAGGGGACACGGCCGCGCUCGAGACCGGGAGGGGUUAGAAGUAUUCCAUGGGGACCGGUAAAAUGGGAUAAUCCAUGGAGGACUACCGAUGGCGAAGGCAUCUAACCAGAACGGAUCUGACAGUGAGGACGAAAGCCAGGGGAGCGAACCGG